rnacentral:rRNA from 1 species
AUAUCAAUAAGCGGAGGAAAAGAAACUAACAAGGAUUCCCUUAGUAACGGCGAGUGAAGCGGGAUGAGCUCAAAUUUUAAAUCUGGCUGGGUCUACUAGUCCGAAUUGUCGUUUAUAGAGGCGUUUUCGGUGGCAACCUGAGUAUAAAUCUUUGGAAUAGGGUAUCAUGAGGUGGAGA